rnacentral:rRNA from 1 species
UACGUAGGGGGCUAGCGUUGUCCGGAAUCAUUGGGCGUAAAGAGCGUGUAGGCGGCCCGGUAAGUCCGCUGUAAAAGUCAAAGGCUCAACCUUUGAAUGUCAGUGGAUACUGCCGGGCUAGAGUCCGGAAGAGGCGAGUGGAACUCCUGGUGUAGCGGUGGAAUGCGCAGAUAUCAGGAAGAACACCAACGGCGAAGGCAGCUCGCUGGGACGGUACUGACGCUGAGACGCGAAAGCUAGGGGAGCGAACAGG